GAACAUCAGCAUUUAGAGAGCAGCUGGGGAGGGCAGCAGUGGAAACUGAGGCAUGAAGAGGACAAGGAGAGAGCAGAGGCUGAUUGGCCAGGCUGGCUAAGGCGUAGGGAAAGCCAGGUGAAGCCCCUGAGAGGAAGACAGGCACAGUGGGAGCAAAGAGAAAGGGCUGGACAGGCAGGAGGGCAGGAGGUGGAGUGUUGGCCUAAGCCAUGCUGGGGCACACUGCAAGGGAGGCAGUCGCAUCUGGACUGCUGUGCCCCGUGCACUAACUCCUCUCAAUCCAGGCCCAGCUUAGUUCGCUCCUGGCCCAUAAUUCACAGCUCUAAGAGAUGCCGCCGUCUUGACCUUUUGGAACUCAGGCUUCUGGGAUCAGAGAUAAAGCCAGAAAGAUCUUAUUACCUCCCUUCACUCAUCUCUGGGAUAACAGCUUCUGGACCACUGGGCCAAUGCCACUCUUUCUUGUUUUGUGCUGAGAAAAAAAUAUCAGCAUAGAUACCAUGCAGAGAUAUUUCUGAGUGUGGCUUUGAUCUUGUGGUAGGAACAUUCCAGGAGAAAAACAAGAAAAAAGCUUCUUAAGAAUCCGCUGCUCCUUGGCUGAAAGAUUGGGUGUUGGGCUGAUUGAUGAAGGUCAUGAUGCUAAGUGGUUAGAGGAAAAAAGCGCUCUCCUUGCCAUCAGAGGAACCACAUGGCAUGUUCUAAUCCUGGCAAGCCAGCUGCUAUCUUCGUGGGUGAAUCUAGAAAUGGAAUUGCCUAAGGAUUUGGCAGAAGGUGAAAAAGAAGAGCUAAAGAGGAGCAUAGAAGGAGACACUUGGCCUUUGUGUCCAGAGAAGAAAGAGAAUGCCUUUGGGGAGGUUGCGAUCACCAGACGGCUGGCCCUCAGCAACACUGAAGCCCAGAAGUCGGAUUGCCCAGCGGCUUAUGGGGAGUGACCCCUUUGUUUCUCUGAAGCCGUCUCCUCCUAAUCCCCUUAGCUCUAUAAAAGCCCGCUGCUUUCUGUUCUUGGGGAGACAGACUCCAGCAAACCCAGGCUCCCAUCCACUCAUUUUGGCCAAUUUAAUUAAAUCUUUCUCCAUCUCCAAGCACCGGUGUCUCAGUGUUUGGCUUGCUGUGCAUCGGGCACACAAGCUUGAGAUUAAGAGGUUCAGUAUCGAUCAUUCUGUUUAAUUGCCUGAAACACAAGGCUCAAAUGAUCCUGAGAAGAAGACUGGCUCGCACACAGCCUAGUAGAGCUCAGUGCUGGACCGCUGUGAAAAAUUCCAAUCCAAUGGUGGCUUGUUUAUUUUAAAUUAUUCAAAAUCAUUUUAAAGCCUUAAAAAUGGAAGUAGUUGCAACUUCAUGUGGUGAAAUAACAUGGGUAUUUGAGAAGAGAAAUGUGAUAUUGUUUAUAAUGAUAAUAAUAUCGGCCACCACGUACUAGCCCUUACUGUGUUCCAGGUUUUCUACUAA
rnacentral:lncRNA from 1 species